rnacentral:tRNA from 1 species
GUCUUUGCGGCACACUCGUUUAGCGCGUUCAGCUGUUAACUGAAAGGUUAGUGGUUCGAGCCCACCCAGGGUCU